UACGAAGGGGGCUAGCGUUGUUCGGAAUUACUGGGCGUAAAGCGCACGUAGGCGGACUAUUAAGUCAGGGGUGAAAUCCCGGGGCUCAACCCCGGAACUGCCUUUGAUACUGGUAGUCUCGAGUCCGGAGAGGUGAGUGGAAUUCCGAGUGUAGAGGUGAAAUUCGUAGAUAUUCGGAGGAACACCAGUGGCGAAGGGCGACUCACUGGUCCGGUACUGACGCUGAGGUGCGAAAGCGUGGGGAGCAAACAGG
rnacentral:rRNA from 1 species